AAAGAUUUAAAAAUUAUUAAUAUAUUUCCGUUGUCGAUCAUUGAUAUAUUCGCUGUGGGCUCGACCGAAAUUUGGGACGCACGUACGUGUUGGGAAUGAGUAACUCUUAUACUACGAUUACAGUGGCAAAACAAUUGAUUUUAGUUAGAUUUAUAUCCCAUUAUAUCCCACACAAGUAAUCUACGAAGUUCUUUAAUUGGAUGAAAUAACUAGAUUUGGUUCAUUAGUUAAGGGGAAUGACGACAUUAUAUUUAGCUAUUUAGUAUGCAAUGAAAUGUGUAUGAACGUAUCGUCAUAAUCUGUAUUAAGUCAAAAUAUACCAAUUAAACUAAAUGAUUUAUGUACAUGUACCGACGUAGGAGAUGAACUUAAAAUAAAAAUCAUUGAAAUGGUUUGGACAAUCAAAUCAAAAAAAGUUGGUCCUUUUCAAAUUUUAAUGCUGAGAACUGUCUUUACAUGUAUCCGCGGCGACAUAAUGACUUCUACUUGAUAAAACGCAGAAACUAUCCCUUACUUGAGUCUCACACGUGCAAGUUUUCAAGCAAUACGCCUUUCAAUUUCCAGCGCAUUCAUACUUUUUAUCAAUAAGCUCAAAUUUCUAAAAUCUGAUGAAGGUGAAAACAGUUUUUCGUUAAAUUUUAACAGCUCAGCACACCAUCGACAAGCAACACUUGCCGCAGACCGACAAUUUUUUGGUGUUGUCUUGACUAUGACGUCCAAUUAUGAAAUUUCCUUUCAAAAACGAUUUUUGACUAGUCGUAUGUAUAAGCAAAUUGAAAGACAACGCAUGAACGUAUAAAUGCACCGUUAGUCCGGCCCUAUAACGCAAACUAUUCUCAACUCUUAACAAAAAGUCGGAAGAAACAAACAUAAAAAAUGAUGACUAUUAAUAUUUUGUACCGUUACUCCAAAAACAGGGAAAUCGGAGGAAGAAAGGAGAGAGGAUGGUAAAAAAGAACUCAAAUACUAAAGGGCAUCCAAAGGUUGCUCCAGAAAGCUUUCUGCUUCUACAGAGUCUAACUAGGCAGAGCUGGAUAUUAGAUGAGUUGGUUCAAGUAGGCAUCUUAAGUAAUCUCUUACCAGACGAGAGCAUAAGUACAUGUGCCAGUGUCGCACAAGUCUCACGAGGCAACACAAUAUUUUUGUCCGCGAUGGGGGGUCGCUACCCUUCCGAUGUGAUGUAUUUCCACGGCGAUCGGUUUUACGUACCGUACCGAAAUUACCAGCCAAGGACUCUUGUUUCAGCGCUCUAAGCAAAUUGAGAUUUGCGAACUCCUGUACCUUAGUGUAAACGUAGUAUCAUUUUAAAGCAGAGCAGAUAUUAGAAGUUCUUAAUUUUUAGAUAAGAUUUGUUUAGAACUUUUUUUAUGUAUUUUAGUAUUUUCUAUUUAGUAUUUUAUGUUUAGUUAUUUUAUUUUUUAUGUAUUUGAUUAUGAAAUUGGAAGACGGAUUUAUUUAGUUUUAUAUGCAUUGAGUUAUUAUUUAAUUUUUUUAAAAUAUUGUAUUAUAUAUUAUUUAAAAAAAAUUAAAAAUAAUAUUUCCAAAAACGACCACUACUAAUUUAAUUAUACAUACCUACAUAUAUGCACACACUUACAACUGCUUUGAAGACAAUAUAAAAACCUAUGCUAUUGUAAACAGCAGGUACUGUUUUCGUAAUUUUUUUCACAGACUAAUAAACUACAUAAAUAGAUGCAUACAUAUAUACAUUCAUGUAUUUACCAAUGCUCUGUGUUUUUAAGACAUAUUGAAUGCCAUAAUUACAUAUACUGAAUUAUUCCUAACAUUCAUACAUAUACAAAAAAUGUAAGUACUCGCGAAGAAAGCCAAAAAGAAAUAGUCUUACUCCAUAAAAAACAACAAAAAAUUAAAAAUUACCAAACUUGUUUUAUAAAAAACUGACUUGAGCAUAAAGCAUGUUUUCUUUCAGCAAAAAAUUCAAGCUGAAUUAUUCGCCUUAAAAUAGGCUAUAUCCGCUUUUUUUUAACAAGAUGCCACUUAAGCAGAAAUAAUGUUAAUUUUCCUAAGCAAACUAAUAUUAUUUUCUUAGCAAAUUUUUGAAGAUGGCGUUUUAAAAAAACUUUCAUUGCUAUCGCUCGUGCAAAAUUGCAAAAAUUAGUAAAUGCAGAAAUCAUUAGAAAGGAAAUUUUGGUUGCGUUAUUACACUUAUUACAAUUACGAAAAUUAAAAUGCGAAAAAUCACGCCUAGUUUUGUAGCGGCCACAGCCACUUGCGGUACCCACAACAAUAUUUAAAAAAAAUGCUAACUACACAAACAUUACAAUUCAAAGAAAUAAGCAAUAAAAAAUUUGUGACAGAAUUCAAAAAAAAAAAAAAAACUAAUAAUAAUUUGACAGCAACAAAUAUUGUACAUAGUAGUACAACAAAAAAAAAAUUCUAACGAAUAACGAAAUUUUGCUAAAAUUUUAACACAAAUAGAAUAACUAGUUAAUGAAUUAUUUAAACCCAAAUAGUAUUUCAAUAGAAACAAACAUACUCACACACGUCAACGCGUACACAUCAAGAGCAAAUAAUUUGUUUUCUAUUCGUAUUGUUAACAUCAAAAUAAUACAAAAAAUUAAGUAAAAAUAAAAAAGUAAAUUAAUACAAAUAUUAAAACAUAUACAUACAUACAUAGUAUAUAUAUAUAGAUAAAAGUUCUUUCUCACAUACGGACUGUGAUUUCAUGUAAAAUAGUAACAGUUGAAAAAUAAAAUCGAAAAUCGUGGCAUAAUCGUUACUAGACCAAGAAGUUAGCUCCAAAAGCCUAAUUCAUAAACGUAAUGUAUUAAUGUAGGUUAAAAUACUUUAUAAAAUGUCAUUUUCAUAAAGUUGAAGUUCAUAUUAUUGGAAACUCAUAACGCCUUCAGUGCUAAAAUUAGUAGUUAAAAAUGUAACGUAACAUUAAUAACGGUAAAAUGUGCGUUUUAGAAAAUGAAAUGAUAUCAGCUAAAAUAAAAGCAGCAAAGUUGUUCAAUUAAUAAAAUUUAGCAAAAACAGAAUUGUGUUGUUAAACAAAUCUUGAUUAUGUUUGCCUUAUAUUCAGUAAUGAUAGUUAUGAUAAAAGCAUAGUAUUAGAAAAGUAUUAAGUAGACAUCAAAAUUUGUUAUGAAUGGAUAGCAAGAGAGUAAUUGCGCCCAAUUUGUUAUGAAGCGUUUUUGGUUUUGUUUUGUUUUGUUUGGUGAGUUGACAAUUCCGUCCUAAAAUGGCCAAGAAUUGAAAUUCGAGAAUGGGCUUAUUCGAGCUUUAAUCACAACCGCAGUGUUGCAUGAUUUGUGAAAGUAUCACGUUCGAUGUAAAAUUCUGGCAACAUUGUCAAAAGCAUCACGUUCGAAGUGUCAAAAAUUCGGCAAAUGUUGUGCGCAAAAACAAAUAAAUCGACAUUAAAAAGUUUUUGUUUGAAGAACAUCAGAAAAGUAUCAGUUGAGCAAUUGCAACAGUGUUGCAAAUUCUCAUCAGUGCAACAGUAUUGCCGCUUUUAUUUCGUGCAGCGAACAAGCCCAAUGUUACUGAACCAAACAUGGACGUUUGAUGACAGCUGAAUUUACCAUUUUCUUAUUUCAUAUCUAUAAAUAUGUACAUGCAGUCACUCACACCUCAUUUGAUACAGUAACGAUUUUUGUUUUUUUUUUGUAAAGUGAAAAAUAGAAAAACAGAGCAUGCAGGCAUCUUAUUUAUUUCAUUUAUCAACAUAAAAUACAAAAAAGUCUACACUCUUUUCAUGGUAAUGCGCACAAAAAAUAAACUUACUGGGAAUUCACUACGCAGCUUAACUGUAUUAGUUAAAAGUACCGCUAUUCCCAGCGCAAGGUUCAACAAACGAAAUUGUAUUUUUAGUAUGCGAGAGUUUGUAGAGUAAGUUCGACAUAAAACAAUAUUAAAUUUUAUGUUCACUUAAUUUUUUAAUCAUGGAACCGCGUCCUUCGAUAGCAAAGCUUGAGCACAUCACUGAAUGCUUUAUGGAUGAAAAUCGUGUGGUAAAUAUGGGACGACAGGCUCCAAAUAAAAAUGAAUUUAAAAUUUAAAACAGAAAGAGUAUCAGUGGUUAGCGCGCCAAGAGAAAAAAAAUCGAGCAACAAGCGCUCCAAAAUUAACUGAACUGCGGUUUGCGCGUGACUAUCUAAAUAAAACCCCAGCAUUUUCGAAGACCAUACUUUUAGCACACGAGGUAAAAAUAAUCUUAUAUGGACCAGAUGGCAGAUCUUUUAUAUAGCACGAGGCUAAUAUGGAGCUCAAAUUCCAAAAUUUGCGAGCAACUAUGAAACACGGCGCUUGCAACGUUAUGGUCUAGGCAUGCAUGUCAGCAAAUGGAGUUGGGAAUUCGACCGUGUUUGGAAGAAACAAUGAACAAAUAUGUUUAUUUAAAACUUGUGCAAAAAAAUAUGGUGCAAAGCGCUAGAAAAUUACAAAUUGAAGAUAAUUUUCGCUUUUAUCAAGAUAACGACCCACAAUAUUACAAGUCACAAAUAUUACAAACCGGGCCAAUAUAUAUAAAUGUCCCCACAUUGUUGAAACUCUUGCACAGUCACCGGAUUUGAACGUUAUCGAAAAUGUGUGGUCGGUAUAAGAGAGUAUGACAUCCAUCACAAUUCUGAUCUUAAAAAGACGAUACUUGAUGAGUGGAACCAAAUUAGUCCAGAAUACACGAAAAAAUAUGCCACGUAUACUUCAAACUGUAAUCGAUAAUAAAAUAAAUACCUUAAAACUUUAAAAAUUAA